rnacentral:rRNA from 1 species
AGCGAACGCUGGCGGCAGGCCUAACACAUGCAAGUCGAACGAACUCUUCGGAGUUAGUGGCGGACGGGUGAGUAACACGUGGGAACGUGCCUUUUGGUUCGGAAUAACUCAGGGAAACUUGUGCUAAUACCGAAUGUGCUCUUCGGGGGAAAGAUUUAUCGCCAUUAGAGCGGCCCGCGUCUGAUUAGCUAGUUGGUGAGGUAACGGCUCACCAAGGCGACGAUCAGUAGCUGGUCUGAGAGGAUGACCAGCCACACUGGGACUGAGACACGGCCCAGACUCGUACGGGAGGCAGCAGUGGGGAAUCUUGCGCAAUGGGCGAAAGCCUGACGCAGCCAUGCCGCGUGAAUGAUGAAGGUCUUAGGAUUGUAAAAUUCUUUCACCGGGGACGAUAAUGACGGUACCCGGAGAAGAAGCCCCGGCUAACUUCGUG